ACAGGUUUGAAGAACCGGAAGCACCUGGUUCUAGAUCAUUUUUUACAGAGAUAAUUGCUUCAAUCUCUGAUAUUAAAUUUUCAAAGGACGAAAGAUAUAUUCUAAGUCGUGAUUACAUGACUCUUAAGCUGUGGGACAUCAAUAUGGAUUUAUGUCCAGUUGCAACAUUCCAGGUUCAUGAAUAUUUACGACCUAAGCUGUGUGAUUUGUAUGAAAAUGAUUCAAUCUUUGACAAAUUUGAAUGUUGCCUAAGUGGUGAUGGAUUGCGAGUGGCAACAGGUUCCUACAGCAACCUGUUCCGUGUAUUUGGUUGUGCCCCUGGAAGCACCGAGUCUACAAC